GGGCAUUGCAACCUGAGCUUCACUCAUUUGCUUCUCAAACAGAGCCUUGUACUUCUCUAGCAGCUGCUUCUUGAAUCUACCAGGGAAUGGAAAUUUGGGUUCAUAAGGAAGAGAAACAAAAGAACUUUCACUUGCUGGAGUAACAACCUCACCAUCCUUUACUGUCUUCUUCUCUUCCCCAACCUUUCCUUUACCUUUGGCUGCCACUAUCUUCU
rnacentral:lncRNA from 1 species